rnacentral:lncRNA from 1 species
CCCCCAGAAAAGUAUGAAGAAUGUCUGUGAAAAAGUGACUGUGUUCAUUUGUAGUAUUUAAAGUGAAGAAAGAACAUAAAAAUUUUAAUCAUUGGAAUUGAUACUUUUUGUGGGGGUGGGAAUCUGUGUCCUUUGUAGUCCAGUUCCUUCCCAUCAGUUAGGACUGAUGGGAAGGAACUGAACUACCCAUUACAUCUUGACCCAGCCCAUCCCAUUCCUGAUUUGUAGUCCAGAUAUGAAUGUACAAAUGAUAUAUAUCAUAUUUGAAUUAAAAUAUUAAUAUAGAGCAUGGCCACAAAAUAAGCAGAGAGAUGUGUAUAGAUGAAUUUAUUAUGAAAUAUGUUAGUAUGAAAAUAUGUCUUAUGCAUGCAGUUGUCACAUACAAUAGUAACACUUUAUAAAAAUUGAUAGAAGUACACUUCUUUGUAAGUAAAUAUAUGUAUAUGAUAGAAAAGGUUGAAAACAUGAGUUUUUUGGAGAUGUUUAUAAUAUUGUUACGGAUUCAGUAUAUUAUAUGGAAUAAUUAUUGAAUCGUAAAUUCUAUCCUAACCCUGCCCAUCUCAUUACUGAUUGGUUGUCCUGAUAUUUUUAUACAAAUAAUAUAUAAUAUAACAUACCUGAAUGAAAAUAUUAAUGUAGAACAUAGUUUUAUUAAAAGCAUAGAAAAGACUAGAAUAGAUAAAUAAAUAUUUUUGUGUGAAAAUAUGUCAUAUUCAUGUAGUUGACACUUUUUGACACUUUCUAUAGUCACACUUUAUAAGUGGUAAAAGUAUACUUCUGUAUAAUGUAUAUAUUAUGAUGUUUAUAUAGUGUUUAGAGUGAAGAAAGAACAUAAAAUGUUAAUAAUUGAAAUUGAUACUUUGUAGGGGAUGGGAACAUUGUCCAGUCUAUUCCAGUUCCUUCCCAUUCAUGCCUAUCCUAAGCCAACAUGACCCGGUCCGUCCCAUUUCUGAUGGGUAAUUCGUGUAUGAUAGUACAAAUAAUAUAUAACAUAGCGUAUUAGAAUUAAAAUAUUUAUGUUGAGCAUGCCCCAAAUGAAGGAAGAGAAAAUAUGUGUAUAAAUAGAAUAAUUAUGAAUAUGUUUUAUUUGUGCAAUUGACACUUACUAUGGUAACACUUUAUAAGAAGUGGUAAAAGUACACUUCUUUAUAAGUAGAUAUAUAUUUGAUAGAAAAGGUUAAAAACAUUUGUUUUUGAGCUGUUCAUAAUAUUAUUAUGGAAACCCUCUAUUACCUAAAGACAAAUGAUUGUUAAAUCUGGAACCACACUUGUAUGGGCAAAUGAAGGUCCAUGUACAGUUGUUGAAAGUUACAUUCUUGCUGUAUUUUGAGAAGUAUGGAAAAAGAAUUGUUUGAUAGGUAAAAUACAUUUUUUGUUUUUCAGUAUAUUUACUGAAAUUGCUGACCAAUGUUGAAGCUGUGGAUUUUCCCUGGGAAAGAAUGAAGAAUGUUUUCAAGAAGAGACUGUAUUCAUUUGUAGUGUUUGAAGUGAGGAAAGCAUAACAAAUUGAGACAGAAGACAAAAGAUGUUGAAUGUGACAGCUGGAAAUGUAAGUAGCAGGCUACAAGACUGAUUUCCAAACAAAAUGAUAGGCACUGAAACGCCGAUGGAUGAAGAAUCAGAAGGCUUAAUCAACGGAUGGUGAAAAUGGUCACAUGCUGUAAGAAAAAUGCCAGCUGGAAAAGUAUAAUCCCUCACCACCAGUACGUACCAACUCGGACAGAUGGUAUCUCAACAUAUAGUAGAUUCACGGUGAUACAUCAUAGAACAGAUAUAGCUGGUCAAAUCAUACAAGAAUGUUGUGACAUUGAUAGUUGGUUUCCUGCAAAGAAGAAUGUAUAAUGUAACACCUGUAGCCAGAGAGUUCGGAGAAAGGGAUCAGCUCAAAGAACAUUGGAGGGGUCUGAUGACAAUAUUGAUAUAGGUUAUGACGAAGAUGAUAAAGGAAAAUUGGCAGAGGUAAAGGAGACAAAUUAUGGUGCGAAAAGUAUAAAUAUCACAAGUUAACAGUCAAUAAGGGAUUUGACUCCAGCCAGUAACUCCACAAGUCGUGAGCUUGCAAGAUAUGUCACAGAAAGGCGGGUUUAUGUAGCUGCUGCAGAUUAACCCAGUCUUGCUGAAACGAGAAGUUGUGAUCUACAACAUGAUUCUACAACUGCCAAUGAACUUCGGUAGAAGAGCUCGAGGGGAGUGGAGUGAGCAGAUUGCAGUACAGUCAAACCUGUCUAUAAAGACCACCCUUGGGAGAGUCAAAAUGUGGUCUUUAUUGGGAGGUGGUCAUUAUUCACAAGUUAAAAUAUAAUGUAAAUGUAAAAAUGGGAAACAAAACAUGUGUUCUUUAGAGCCAUGUGGUCUCUGUUCAGAGGUGGUCUUUAACACCGGUUUGAGUGUAUACACAUCAGUGGGAGUGAAACAGGCAGAUUUCAAUACAUACUACAUCAGUGGGAAAAGCACAAUGAAGUUCAGCUGUUUCCAGCUUGAAACACAUGGUUGAAGUUGCAAGGAGAGACUGAUGGAAAAUGACAGUGACUGGACAGACAAUGAUGAUGGUGAAGAACUAUAGAAAACUUUGGAAAACUUUUAAUAGCAAGCAGUCAUUGAUCCAGUAUUCCAGCCAAUGUAUCCCUCUCGAAUUGGCCAAAAAGGAUGUUGAUAUUGAUGCACUUCCUUGUAGCAACUUCAGUCCUACAGAACUAUAAGGGGAGGCAACAAUUAUCACUAUUGACCUAGAAACCGUUGACCUAAUUCAAUAUGGGAAGAUUUCACAUCAUACAAAGCCACAUACCACAACAAAUCACUGUAGCAUAGAUAUCUAUGUUGCGCCUAAAAAAGGAAAUUUCACCAGAGGCACAAAGGAUCCCCAGGAUUGCAUGGAAUAUUCAGACACUAUGAUGAUAAAAAGCACAAUAGUCCAACACAUCUGUACCUGGAAUUAAGUUGACUGUAGAGAAAUUGUGUACUUGACUUGAAAAGAUCCUAAAGUGAUUUUGGUAGCCCAUUAUGGAAGACAAUUUGAUUUUCCAGUUCUUGUCUCAGCUCUACUGUGCACAAAAAUAACUAGGACAAUAUUCAGCUGAGUUUCAUCUAUAGAGUAUUCUUUUACCAGUUUUCAAAAAACUGUACCCUAAACAGUCAUACUUGCUAUGACACUACUUGGUAUCAGGUAUAAUGCCUAUAACUGACAGACAGAUAGACAAAUUUAUUAUGAAAAACUGAGAAGGCCUGCCAAUGGUUUUUUAGAUGUUAAAGAGAAAUUUUAAGCAAUGAGGUAUACUCAUGAUAAACUUGAUACCAUAAUGUUCAUUAUCUAAAGUAGAAAAUGACAAUUAUAAUUUGAAAUUCGAAUUUUGUUAUUUAAGUCUAUAUUUAAGAAAAUUAAUAUAUCCAGACUUGUAAAUUUUACCAUUUUUUACAGUGUUACAUUAUAGCUUUAAGCCUCAAUACCCUCUUUUUACAAUCUGCCUAAAAAACACUUUAGUUGUUCUUGUUUAUUAUUUAACCAUUUCCUUGAUUAAAAAUACACAACAAAUUUCUAGCUUUAGACUGCCUAAGGUUGACAAGUUUACUUUCUUUGAUUUUGCUUAAGUUUGUUAAUUAUUGUUAAAUACUUUUGUUCAGAAUUUAUUAAGGUGUAUAAUGUUAUCUUUUAAUAGUAAAGUAAGGAGAAGACAACCUUUACUGUAAACUUUCUGUACAAUGCCUGAAAUGUUUUUUUGUAAAUAUUUCUCGACUUCCUGAAUGAAAAUGUUUAAAUUAAAAUUAUAAGUAAAGUAUAUAAACCCAAACUUCUAUGGAGCAAGAAGACAAAAUUCCAUUUCAGCUCUUGUAUAAAAUUAACUUUGUGAUAUUUUUCUUAGUGAUAAGUUUCUCAGUGAUAACUAGACAUUUAAUUUUAUAUCUUUGUAGAUUUUUGUACAGUUAAUUCAGGUGUAUACAAGACAAUAUUUAUAAAGAUUUUUUAUAUGUUUUAAGCUACCUAAUUAUUUAUAUUAGAGAAAACUGUUAAAUUAUAAUUACUUUAUAAGUGUUCGUGUAAAUCCUACUUCACUAUACUUAUAUAUUAUUGAAAGCAAAGGGACUCCAUUGGAAAUAAGCGAAAUUGUUUCUUUCAUGGUUUAUCCCAGGCAGAAAAAUCAUCAUCUUUUCCUGUUAUUUAUGUAUUAGCUUGAUUACACUUGUAAAGUACAAACAUAUAAGGGUUUACUGCAUAUUUAUUACUUCUAAUAUUUUUAUGCCCCCGGCAUCUACUGAUGUGGGGGGCAUAUAGUGAUUGUCCUGUCAUCAAUACCCCUGACUAGAAUGACUUGAUACUAAUGCAGAUGUAUCCUGUGACCAUUCCUCAUCUU